CGCUACCAUCUUGCUGAUCCUGUGGAUCUUCUUCCUCCCCGACUCCAAGGGCCUGCAGUGGGUGGGCGGAGAGGCUGGGGCCUGGGGUGGUGGCAUGUGUGCAGCUGCUCCAGGUCUGAGAUGUGAUUUGGGAAUCUCUGCCAUUGCUGCCAACCAGUUGACAAAAAAAUACCACACAGGCCUUCGGAGAAACCACCCUACUGUUUCAAGAUUUCCGUGCUGCCAUUUUAAAUUUACAAACUCAGAUAAAUCUUGUCUGGGUAAUAAUUCAACUAUUAGAGACUAAGAUUCUGAGCUGUUGUCAUGCAAAUUUCACCCAUAGUUGUGUUACUCCUUUUCAUUGUUAACAUUAUAAUGAUUAUAAAAAUCUGUCAAAUUGUAUAGGAAAAACCUGGGAUCCCACA
rnacentral:lncRNA from 1 species